CAUGGAGGGUGAGAAUCCCGUUCAUGGUUAAUUCUAAGAUGCUCUAUGAUGCGUUUUCGAAGAGUCGAGUUGUUUGGGAUUGCAGCUCAAAAUGGGAGGUAAAUUUCUCCUAAGGCUAAAUAUUGGCGAGAGACCGAUAGCGAACAAGUACCGUGAGGGAAAGAUGAAAAGAACUUUGAAAAGAGAGUUAAACAGUACGUGAAAUUGUUGAAAGGGAAACGAUUGAAGUCAGUCGUACCAGCGGGAAAUCAACCUUUCGAGUGGGGUUUUGGAGUUUUGAAGUGUGUCAAAACCUUGGGGAUUUCAAAAUUUUCGCUCUUCUGGUGUACUUUCUCGCAGGUAGGUUAACAUCGAUUUUGAUCAUCAUAAAAGGAUCGGAGGAAUGUAGCUUCGAUCUCGUAUUGAAGUGUUAUAGCCUUUGGUAAAUGUGAUGAUUAGGAUCGAGGAUUGCAACGAAUACCCUUUUGGGCUAUCCGCCUGAUCUCUGAUACGUGGCCUUGGUAUUGAAAGCGUGCUUACGAUAUAAAGGUAUUACGGUCAAAAGGUUAGAACGGAUUACAUUCGUUAAGGAUGUUGACGUAAUGG
rnacentral:rRNA from 1 species